rnacentral:sRNA from 1 species
GCUGGGUGCAGUGGCACUCGCCUGUAAUCCCAGCAACCCCGGAGGCUGAGAUGGAGGAUUGCUCGGUCAAGGUCAGCCUCAGCAACGUGGCCAGGCCUUCAGCCACUGAGCAAGACCAUGUCUCAA